rnacentral:rRNA from 1 species
UACGGGGGGAGCAAGCGUUGUUCGGAUUUACUGGGCGUAAAGGGCGCGUAGGCGGUCAGCACAAGUCAGUUGUGAAAUCUCCGGGCUUAACUCGGAAAGGUCAACUGAUACUGUGCGACUAGAGUGCAGAAGGGGCAACUGGAAUCUCGGUGUAGCGGUGAAAUGCGUAGAUAUCGAGAGGAACACCUGCGGCGAAGGCGGGUUGCUGGGCUGACACUGACGCUGAGGCGCGAAAGCGUGGGGAGCGAACAGG